UGCGCAGGCGGGACUGCAAGUUGGAUGUGAAAUACCGGGGCUUAACCCCGGAGCUGCAUCCAAAACUGUAGUUCUUGAGUGAAGUAGAGGUAAGCGGAAUUCCGAGUGUAGCGGUGAAAUGCGUAGAUAUUCGGAGGAACACCAGUGGCGAAGGCGGCUUACUGGGCUUUAACUGACGCUGAGGCACGAAAGCAUGGGUAGCAAACA
rnacentral:rRNA from 1 species